rnacentral:rRNA from 1 species
UACGUAGGGUGCGAGCGUUGUCCGGAAUUAUUGGGCGUAAAGAGCUUGUAGGCGGUUUGUCGCGUCUGCUGUGAAAUGUACCGGCUCAACCGGUGCCUUGCGGCGGAUACUGCAUAGCUGGAGUACUGGAGAGGGAAGUGGAAUUCCCGGUGUAGCGGUGAAAUGCGUAGAUAUCAGGAGGAACACCGAUGGCGAAGGCAGGUCUCUGGGCAGUUACUGACGCUGAGGAGCGAAAGCAUGGGUAGCGAACAGGAUUAGA